GCCGGUGUGGCUCAAUGGAUAGAGCCUCGGCCUGCAGACCGAAGGGUCCCGGGUUCGAUUCCGGUCAAGGGCA
rnacentral:tRNA from 1 species